GAUGAACGCUGACAGAAUGCUUAACACAUGCAAGUCAACUUGAACUUCGGUUUGGGUGGCGGACGGGUGAGUAACGCGUACAGAACUUGCCUCACAGUUAGGGACAACAUUUGGAAACGAAUGCUAAUACCUGAUAUUAUGAUUUUAGGGCAUCCUAGAAUUAUGAAAGCUAUAUGCGCUGUGAGAGAGCUUUGCGUCCCAUUAGCUAGUUGGAGAGGUAACGGCUCACCAAGGCGAUGAUGGGUAGCCGGCCUGAGAGGGUGAACGGCCACAAGGGGACUGAGACACGGCCCUUACUCCUACGGGAGGCAGCAGUGGGGAAUAUUGGACAAUGGACCAAGAGUCUGAUCCAGCAAUUCUGUGUGCACGAUGAAGUUUUUCGGAAUGUAAAGUGCUUUCAGUUGGGAAGAAAAAAAUGACGAUACCAACAGAAGAAGUGACGGCUAAAUACGUG
rnacentral:rRNA from 1 species